rnacentral:tRNA from 1 species
GGUUCCAUGGUGUCAUGGUUAGCACUCUGCAUUUUGAAUCCAGUAGUCUGAGUUCAAAUUUCAGUAGAACCU